UGUGUUUUUCUCUUCCACCACACUGAAGUUCCAUGAAUAGGGAAAGUGGCUCCUAUUGUGUGCCUCUGAACUUCCAAGUCAAUGCAAUUUUUAACCACUGGCUUGUGGUACUUUGAAAAUCACCAGGGGCUGUCAGAGUUGGGUCCUCUGAAAAAUUUACAGUGCUAAAUCAGAGCAUAUGCUGUGAGAGAGGGAAAAAAUUGCUUAAGAUUGGAGCAAGUACAGUAUCUGUCUGCCCCCUAGUGUAAGUCUCUUAUCUGCCUAAAAUUCAACUUUAAAAGAAAAGGAUCUCUUAAAGGGAAACGACUUUUGGCUCACGUAUGCAUACGAGAAUGAAACUUCUGUGCAUUUUAAUCUGAUUAAUUCCUAAGGAUUUAAAAUUAAUUGGCUUGGACACUCCUAGACGGACAGUUAGAUUUCUGCAUCAGGGUUUCUCCAAGCCGUGUGUUGAAUAGGUAUUUUUAAGCGGAGGGGGGGGGGGGACUGGUUUGUGAUUUUUUUUUAAAUGAGAAGCCAUGCCUCUCAUGCUUUUGUCAGAACAGAGCAGUUUUGCUGCUUAAAGUCAGAUCUGCACCUUUUGCAAUAAAGAAGGAUAAAUAUUUGCCUUAAAGCUGCAGACCAGCUGCCAACCGCACCUUCCGAUGUAUGAAGAUAGAAAUAUGUUAACUACUGAGGCAGGUGGCAACAUUUCUGCAAUGACGAUUAUGUCUAAUUUCUUGCGGCAUAUGGGGCCAAAUCCUGCAGUCUCUUACUCAGGCAAAACUCCUGUUGAUUUGAGUCUGAGUUUUGCCGAAGCAUGGAAAGACUUGGCCGUCGAUGAGAACUGAGUCAGUCGUAAAUCGGCAUAACUACGCUGCAUUAAAUGGAUCUGCACCCAUUUACAGUGUCUGAGGAUCAGGCCUGAUCAAGAGACUUCUGCUUGUGCAAUGAGGUCAGCUUGAGUGGACCGAGGCACACAAAUGGAGUCCCAGAGGCUGGACAGAUUUGAUGAUGAAUUUUAGCAGACAGAAUCCCUGCCCUCUGCAGCUGUGAAGCCCUGGGAAAUAAUCCACACAAAAGAAUUUCGGAAAUGAAAGCUGUCUCUGCCAUCUUUUGUUUAAUUAACACAGGCACUAAGGUGCAAGUUCUUGUUGCCCAACCCCCACCUUCAGCCAAGGGACAGGUAUGAGUAAUCCAUUGAAAGGAGAAAAUUAAAGACUAGAAGGUAAGCAAGGACUGAAGUAAAACAGGCAUAUUCACGUGGCAGGAAUUGAUUCAUUUUUAUACCAAAAGAAGAUUUCAGAUGCGAGUUCUCACUGGCUUGGAAUUAUCGCAAUGGCUGAGGCUUGAUUCACUGCAAAGACAACUGUCAUUCCAGUCUAGAUUGUGAGACCCUCACUCACAUCAGUCUCAGACCUUUGCUGGCCCAUCAAAAUCAAGAAGCAAGAAAUGGCAUAACUAAUGUGUACUAUAGAAAUCAAUGGAACUGCUUGGGAGCACAGUUCUACUCAAUGUGAGUUAAGAUUGCACAAUUUAGGCCUCUAGUAAGUGUUACUACUAUUGCUACUUUGAACAAACUUUAUUAAGUAGUUUUGACUUAUUUAAAUGCAUUCUUUGAAAUGGCAAUACUACUACUAAUAUAAUUCAUUCUUUCUUUGACUAUAUGAUUUGUCCUAUCCUCGGUAUCAUGAAGGGUUACUCUUGCCCUAGCUAGCAUUCAUUCAGAUACUCAGCUAAAUCUUCCAAUGGAGAUCCUCAGAUUUCACUUUAUGUGUCUGCAGGUAAUACACGAGGGCUUCCCAGAUAAUGACAAGGUUGUAUGUACGUAGAGAUAGCAACAAAACUAGAUUUAUGCAUCAAGACUCAAAGCCUUUCUAACUUCUGGAUGGUUUGAUGCAUUCACUGAAGUCUGGCCAACAUGACCUGAGGGUAUUUGCAUUGUUGAGAAGCUUCCAAACAUUCUGCUUCCCUUUCUUCCUCUCUAUUCUCAACAAGUCCUGGAACUAUCUCUGAAGACAUUUAAGGUAAGAAAGGGAGCAUUAAUUUUUGUUGUGGGCAAGAAGUUAAUUUAUUUAGUUAUAUCUAGGACCUAGGAUCUAGUAGCACUGGAGCACAAAACACAGUAAUUUUGCAAAGAGAUUUCUAUAGGAACUCUGCCUCUUCCUUAGGAAGCUUUGCCUCUGUCUCUUUCUCUUUUUCUUUCAUUUUUGCUGUUCUCAUUCCUUGUCUUUGGUUAUUGCUAAAAAGCUUUUGUAAAACCUGAGUAUGGAGAAUGGUUUGUUUGGAUUCAGUCCUAUCCCUUCCAGUACUUUUGUUCCACAGUUGAUGACACAGAAACCAAAAACGCCUUAGCUCUGGCUCCUGUGAGUUUUGUCUAACCGCCUGCAGGUGCAUCAUCCCAGAGAAACACAGCUGUUGCUAGAGGACACUCUCUGCUGUAGCUGGACCUCAGCCCAUUUAUGUCAUAUGAUAUUGUUUCUUUGUCUUUUCCUGCUCAGAAGGAAAGCUGCUGCAUUUUGCAGAAGUGAAUUUAGUAACUUCCAUCUUCAACUCUGGAUACUGAGAGCUGCUAAGGCCCAGCCUAGAAAUGAUGGACACACAGAUCAUUGUGGCCAGAUCCUCAUCUAAGAAGACUGGAGUCCAGGUUUGCUGUCGUGGAGACCAGAGAAGAAGUAACUAAAAGAAAGGAAAAGAAACACUGGAGAAUAAAAGUACAUUUGAAAUGGAAGAAAUCUACAUUUCAAUGAAAAUACUUUUAAGCCAUUUCAGAUGACUGAGUGAAAUAAUUACAAAGUUUGGAAAUAGAGAACAGUAGCUUUGAUAUCUUUUUCUUCUGUGAAGCAAUUAAAAUAAGCAAUUUUUCAAAUACUAAGCAGAAAAUUGCUAAUGGUUGAACCCAAAAGCUUUCAUUUCGUUCUUGGGGUCUUUUUUUCUUCUAAAAAAAGACCAAAAAAUAUUAAGGUGGUUUUCUAGAUAGAUUAAUGUAUAAAGCAGUUGUUAGUUGGAUGUCAUAAAAACUACAGCAGCACAGAAUAGCCGAGAUUAAGAGCCAGUUUUAAAUCAUGCAACAGUCCAGUUAAUAUCAAUGUAUAAUUAAGAAAAGCAUAAGAAGUCUCUAAUGGUGAUUUGAUGGAAAAAAACCUCUAAUAGGGUUUCUUUUGGAAUUUUCCAUUUCAAUCACUCUUGUAGAUAUUUAAUGGAUUUCCUACCCUGUCUUUGGCAUUCGCAGGAAUUAUCCAAAAGUUAAAAUCAAGCCCUAAAAUGGAACACAGGUAGACAAAUUAGCCCAUCUGGAGAGUGGUCUUUAUAGAAUGACAAUGUGAGCUCACGCUGAAAAUUUAGUACAAAUGUCUCAAAUCUGGUGUGAAAACCCUAUUUGCCAUAUAAUCUUAAGCAAUGUAAUACUAACCCAUUUCCUCACCUUUCUAAUCCUGUUGAAAUUCCUAACAAUUCAGAAAUACUAAACUAUGGGCUAUUAAACAUAAUUAAUUAGUCUAUUUAAAUGGCAAGGUUUUCUCUAGUCAUGUAUAUUAGUAGUACAUUGAGGUGAGUUCUUCCAUUGCUGGCAGAGAGAUUUAGAGUACACGGUUCCCCAUUAAUGUCAUGGAGUUUCAUGAAUCUCCCACUCUUCACAGGAUAACUAGAUCCCUUGAAUGAAACUAAAGGUGUGGCACCUGCCAUACCAUAGAAAUCAUCAAGGAAGUUUGGCCAACUAUCCCUAUAGGACAGAUGCUGCUUUUAUGGUUGUGCCUUGAAUAUCCAGGGUGCACUGAAGUUGUAAAAUUAAGAACAGUGUGUAGCUAUCUUAGCAUGUACACAAUCGCCUAGCAAAGAGGAGAGAAGGACUGGCACUGGAUUAAAGCACAAUAUAUUUGUUGCCAUCACUUUGUUGUUGGCCCAAUGAAAGCUGAGGGAAUUAUCUCCAGAAUCCAGGAAGACUGCAAACUGAAAAUAACCUAGUAUCUCAGAAGCACGCACAGCAGAGAGUGAUUUUAUACUUCAUUAAAACAUAUUAGACUACAAUACUCUGACCAGAGUAAAACAGGGUCCAUUUUUCCAUCUGUCUAUAUAUUCCUUUCCAAUACCAAAUCUGUCUGGAGACCUUUCAAAAUUAUAUUAUUAAACACUGCCCCUUUCCUUAGCAAAUAAAAAGCUGAAAAGAAUGGAGAUAAACCAGAGUAACAUACAACAGUGAAAGUUCUGCAGUCUGAUUCACCAUUACUACUUGAGUUAUCAUGGUUCAAAGUCACCCAUGGUGUAAUCCCAUUGAUAAAUCAGAGAUGAAUAUGGGCCUAUUAUUUUAAAGUGUGGUGGAGUGGCAGUUGUGAUAAGCUGAAGUUCUUUUAAUUAAUACCCCUCUGGAAGAAAUAGGAGGGAGCUAUUGGCAGGGCAUCCUCAACAAUGAAUCACAUUUCCCCCCCACUUUAGGCAACCAGUGGGCCCAAGCCAUGCUGAAAAUCUGAUCUUUUCUCCUAAGCUGCAUGUGAACAGGUAGGUGUGGUGGGUAAAGAUCCUUUUAAAUGGUUGCUCAAGACAGAGCAUUGGUGAUUCUCAGCACAGCUUUCAACGUAUUUAUGCAAUUCUUUGAAACAAAGUCAGUUAACUGAGUCUUUUCUAGCAACUGUUCAUAACAGAGGUAAAUUAUACUGAUCAAACGUGAAAAAAGGGCUUCCAAACUUGUCCGACACACAUGGCAGAUGGACCCCAAAUGGGUGAGGAAACUUUCUCCACUCCUACUUAAAAGCCAUUCAUCUUUAGAGCUCACUAUAAUUGUGUUCCAGCCCUCUCACAUGGAACCCAAAUGAGAAGAUUGAAAAAAAACCAAUAUAUCAGUUACCUAAGUCUAACAUAUACAUAGAAAAGAUAGCAUUUCCUUUACUAAAGUCCAUUGCAAUUGAAAUCGCUCGAAGAUGAGUAGGUGGACCAGGGGAUAGAUAAUGGGAUACAGAUCUUCUUAUUUCUAGGUCUCUAAUCAAGUGCAGCUAGACAGUGACGCAAAAAGUAAUUAUCUAUCUGAUGAAAGAGAGAGGUAACACUGUGGGACAUAUGGGUAUAUGCCCUUGGAUGGGAAAUCUGAGAGUUGAAUGGAAAUAUCUGUCAGACCUGCAAGGCCUAGUUUGGGUAUAAGAGGGAAGAAAAAACAUUUUAACAUUAGGUAAAUUUAGUGCUAUGAAAGAUCCUAGGGACAAUGGGAGUGAAGUCCUCUAUCUUAUGAUAAACUAUUCAGAUCUGUCCUAUCUGACUGCCUCCUGCUGUCAUCCUCCCAUUAUCACUCCGCUUUGUUCCCUCCCCACCUCUUCCCUUUAUCUAUAUUGUCCUGGCCUCUUCUACUCCCAUGCCUCCAAUUCCUUUUAGCAUCAUAUACCCUUCCACACUCAAGUAUAUACAAUAUUUUUUGCAACACACAUCUCCAUUUCCAUCUUUGUAUAUACAUAUAUGCAGUAGACUGCAAAAGGCAGUGAAGAAUCAGACCCAACAUAUA